rnacentral:rRNA from 1 species
GAUGAACGCUGGCGGCGUGCCUAAUACAUGCAAGUCGAGCGAACGGACGAGAAGCUUGCUUCUCUGAUGUUAGCGGCGGACGGGUGAGUAACACGUGGAUAACCUACCUAUAAGACUGGGAUAACUUCGGGAAACCGGAGCUAAUACCGGAUAAUAUUUUGAACCGCAUGGUUCAAAAGUGAAAGACGGUCUUGCUGUCACUUAUAGAUGGAUCCGCGCUGCAUUAGCUAGUUGGUAAGGUAACGGCUUACCAAGGCAACGAUGCAUAGCCGACCUGAGAGGGUGAUCGGCCACACUGGAACUGAGACACGGUCCAGACUCCUACGGGAGGCAGCAGUAGGGAAUCUUCCGCAAUGGGCGAAAGCCUGACGGAGCAACGCCGCGUGAGUGAUGAAGGUCUUCGGAUCGUAAAACUCUGUUAUUAGGGAAGAACAUAUGUGUCAGUAACUGUGCACACCUUGACGGUACCUAAUCAGAAAGCCACGGCUAACUACGUG